GAUGAACGCUGGCGGCGUGCCUAAUACAUGCCAGUCGAGCGAACGGACGAGAAGCUUGCUUUUCUGAUGUUAGCGGCGGACGGGUGAGUAACACGUGGAUAACCUACCUAUAAGACUGGGAUAACUUCGGGAAACCGGAGCUAAUACCGGAUAAUAUUUUGAACCGCAUGGUUCAAAAGUGAAAGACGGUCUUGCUGUCACUUAUAGAUGGAUCCGCGCUGCAUUAGCUAGUUGGUAAGGUAACGGCUUACCAAGGCAACGAUGCAUAGCCGACCUGAGAGGGUGAUCGGCCACACUGGAACUGAGACACGGUCCAGACUCCUACGGGAGGCAGCAGUAGGGAAUCUUCCGCAAUGGGUGAAAGCCUGACGGAGCAACGCCGCGUGAGUGAUGAAGGUCUUCGGAUCGUAAAACUCUGUUAUUAGGGAAGAACAUAUGUGUAAGUAACUAUGCACGUCUUGACGGUACCUAAUCAGAAAGCCACGGCUAACUACGUG
rnacentral:rRNA from 1 species